rnacentral:lncRNA from 1 species
AAAAAUAAAAAAUGUAACGAACAGUGAAACAUAUGGGUAUAAAAGCCAUAACCAGAUCGUAAAGUUUUUUUUACUGAGAAAUAUACCAAAAAAAUAAUAUACAAAAAAGCAGAGAGUUUGAAAUAGAUUCAAAUAUCAAAAGGUGCUGUUUUUUAUUUUUAUUUUUUUGAAAUAGAUAAAUAAAAAAUAAUAAAAACUUACCUAUCAAUUUGUCUCCCCUCGCCAUCGAACAUUGCUGGUGUCUAAUGAGGCCAUUUUUUAUUCUCACGUAUUAUUUUCUUUUCUUGAUUUCUAAACCAAAAAUCUGAUUUAAAAGUUUUAAAAAUGGGAGGGCUGAAAAGGCCCAUUUUUGUGUAGCUCCGGCUACCGGCCACGGCGGAGUUGCGGCAGAGGCUCGUCGGUCUCCAUGGCCAAAUUUUGGGAUACCCAGAAAGAAAAGAAGGAAGAAUUUUUUUUAAAGUUAUUCAAAUGAUUUUUUGUUCUGUUUUUAUUAUUUAUAAUAGGACAAAUACGACGUCGUUUUUGAGCCUAAGCUUCAGGCGCUAAAACGGCAUCAUUUUAACAUUAACUCGUGACCCGACUCGAUAGCAUUUAAGAUCCUCGUGUUUUUAAACAAAAUGGUCUAUUUUCUUUAUGGGUCCUUCCGCUUUUGGACUCCUUUUCAAUCUGGUCCUAUCUGUUUUAUAUAUUUAAAAUUUUUCCACAUAAUUUUAUUUUUGUUUCAUUUUGGUCCAUAUUGAAACGACGCACUCUAAGGACUGGGAAUAAUUUCCCAUCUAAUCCCUGUACCUUUGCGCGCAUUUUACUUUGGCCCAUCCUUCUGCCUUUUCUUUUUUUUUUUACAAUCUAUCCCUAAAAUUCGUUUAAAUGGCGACUUAAUCCUUGGUUAUUUAAUUUCAACCCUUGAUAUAUUUUUUAUAUAUGUUUUGUUUAUUUAUUUAUCUAUUUAUUAUCUUAUAUUCUUUAUAUAUAUAUUAAAAAUUAUAAUGUUUAUAUUUUCUUUAUUUAAAUACUUGUUGUUCGUAUUAUUUUAUCCUUACUACUAUUAUUUAUUUAUUAAUCCAUUUAUAUUAUUAUUAUAUUUUGUAUAUGUUUAAAGUGAGAUUAUUACAUUUUUCUACUUGCACAUUUUUACUUAUUUAUUAUUGUUACUAUAUUACUUUUUUUAUCUCGUUUUUACUAUUUUGUCAUUUCUUUUAGCAUCCUCGCAUUAUUUAUGGUUAUAUUCGUCAUGAGGCAUCUAACAUUUUAUUUCUUUUGUUCGUAUUACUUUAUUUAUUUUAUUAGUAAUGACACGAAUUAAUAUCCUUAUUAUGGUUAUAAUUAUAUUAUUAGUAUUAUAGUAUUAUUUUAUUUACCCAUUGUUUAUCGUCUUACCCAAACAAGCUUUUAAAUUAUUUCAUUAUCAUUAUAUCAUACAUUAGGCUUAAAUAUUUAUUCAUUUAUAUAUAUGCCCGAAUAAGUUAAAAUGCCCAUCUCUGUAAGCAUCAUGUUCGUUUUUUUGCACAAUGAAUAAAAAGAAAAUUUUAAAUCAAAACGACGUUCAUUAUUUUUGGAAUUAGAAAAGUCGUGUUCCUAACUUACGGAAUAUGUAUUCUUUCUAAAACCGACAUAAUCGAAUAUAUUUUAAAAUAAAUAAAAUUUUUAACGUUUAUUCUCGUUUUCGGGGAUUUAAGGCAUUGUGUCCUAACUUACGGGACGUGAUCCUUUUUCUCGAUUAACUUGAAACAAACCCCUUUUCGUGCAAAUGAACUUAGUUAAGUAAUGUUUUAAUAAAAGAUCAUAUUUUAAAAUCUCUUCAAAAUUUCAAUUUUUAACACUAAAGACACCAAAUAAUCAACUAGGUACCAAUUUUGGGUGUAACGAGGGUACUAAUCGUUCCUCGUGCGUAACCGACUCCUGAACUCAUUUUCUGGAUUUUUUGUAGACUGAAAAACAUUGUUUUAAUAAAUCAAACAUCUUGUUAAAACGAUCAAAUUACGAGGUGACCCGAUCACGCCUCAUAAAAGAAUGAUUGGUGGCGACUCCAUUUUUGUUUUUAAAUAAAAAGUCAAUUUCGAAAAAGGGUCUCGACACACAUAUCCUCAUAAAAAUGUUAGUCAUUUAUUUCACUUGAAUAUCAAUAAACAAGUAUGACUUAUCAUUAAUCAAGUUUCCUUAUUCAUGUACCUUCCAUAUCAUGUAUUCAAACUUCAUAUACAAGUCAUGUUCAUGUAGUCAAAUAUAUGUCCAUAAUCUUUUAUCACAAAUUCAUAUUGUUAUUUAUCAUAACUUUACUCGUUGAACCACUUAUAAUAUCGAUGGAUACAUGGUUAGCACACACAAAGUGUACAUACUAUAUUCCGUCAAUUCAUAUUCAGGAAUGCUCAUUGAGCAUUUAAACGGGAAGCUCUUCCAAUCCAAAUAACAGAAAGCUCAGGUGAGCUUGUAACGGGAAAGCUUAUCCGAGCUUAAUAACAAGAAACUCACAAGAGCUUAAAUCAGAAAGCUCAUGCGAGCUUAACGGGUAACUCUGAAAAGCUAUUAUCAGGAAGCUCAUGAAAGAGCUUUUAAUCGGGAAGCUCCGGAUAGCCAUAUAUCAGGACACUCACAAGAGCUGCGGUGUGUCCGCAACAUAUGCAAGAUCACUACCGAUCAAAAUGCUCAUAGGAGCAUAUAAACGGGAAGCUUGGAAGAACCAUAUAUCGGAAAGCUCAAGAGAGCUUAUAUCGGGAUGCUCAUGUGAGUUAUAGCGGGACGCUCUUGCGAGCUAUGGUGUGUUCGCAACAUAUGCAGAACCACAACCACUUCAGGAACCCUAUAUCCAUCUAAUUUCAUUUGUUCAAAUGGGAUUUAUUUCUAGUUGGACAUUAUCGGAUAUGUGAUUUAUUUUCAUACUUAACAAUUAUACAAAUUACAUACAUAUAAAUCAAGCAUAUCGCAUCAAUAUACAAUUUAGUUACACGAACUUACCUCGACAAUGUUGGUGUUUGUAGGGUACUAAUCCGAUACUUUUUGUUUUCCUCGAUCCAAUUCCGUACUAGGUCUAUCCGGAUCUAUAUGAGUAAAUUUAACUCAAUUUAAUAAAAUUCACAUUCAAUUCACAUCUUAGAAAAAAUUAUCAUUUUGCCCAUAUACUUUUAAUUAAUUUUGAUUUCAUCCCUAGGCUCGAAAAAUGAAAUUCAUGCAAUUUAAUCCUUAUUCCAAGCCUAGCCGAUUUUUACAUAUCACAAUAUCAACCCAUGUAUUUCACAAAAAUCAUAAUUAUUCCAUAAAUUUCACAUCUUUACAAUUUAGUCCCUAAAACACAAUUUCAUCAAAAUUCACUUUAUAAAAGUUGUUUACCUAUCAAAAACCUUCCAUUUUCUACCAUAAAUUUCAUAAUUCAUACUAAUCCAUGGAAAAACCCUAGUACUUUGAUAACUUUACAAAUUAAUUCCCAAGAUAGCUAAAUUAAGCUAUUACGAUAUGGGAAACAUAAAAAUUACUAAAAAUGGGACAAGAAUACUUACCCAAUUAAGCCAAAUAAGCUUGCUUGUACUCUUUUCUCUUAGCUAGAGUUUCCAUGUUUUAUUUGGGAAAGAUGAUGAUAAAUGAUGAUAUUUUUAUUAUUUUAUCAUUUAUCAUCUUUUAUUAUUUCACUUUCCAAUUUCAUCCUUUUCGUUAAUUAAUUUUCCAUUGAUGACUAAUCAUACUUAUCUACUAACUCCUCUUAAUGGUCUAAUUUCUAUAUAAUGACCUCAAAUUUUGAAUUCCAUGGCUAUUUGAUCCAUUUAACUACUAGAACUCAACUUUUACAUUUUAUGCAAUUUAGUCCUUUUUAUUGGAUUAGACAUAAAAUCAGUAAAAUUUCUUUACGAAAUUUGCAUUUUGACAUUUCUAUCAUAAUGCAGAGCAUGAUAUAAUAUUAAAAUAAAAUUUCUUCCAGACUUGAAUUUGUGGUCCCGAAACCACUGUUCUGAUUUCACUGAAAACAGGUUGUUACAGUCAAUAACAUGUAAAGAAUUACACUAAAAAGUACUAAUUUUUUAAAAUUGGUUGCACAAAAAUUAAAAAAAGUAUUAACUUAUUGAAAAAAAACAAAAUGAUAAAAAUUUGUAAAAGAAGAUAUUAGAUACAGACGAGUAUAUAAUAAUGCUUUGCUAUCUUUAAAAUUUAAUGUCGUGGCACUAUUUUAUUGGUGCAUAAAAACUAUUAUUUUUAGGAUGAUCUUAAUAUAAUUUAUUCCCUUAAAAAUAUUAGAGUAUUAAUCUUAAAUAUUAUAAUUUUCAAUAUUAUUAAAUAUACAUAUUUUUAUUUUAAUAAAAGUAUUUAAUAUUAUAAUUUUAUUUCAUUAAUAAAAUUUAACAUUGAUAAUAAUUUCAAGUUCUAAUUAAUAUUUUUAAUAUUUUAUUUCAAAAAAUUAUAUUAAUCUUUUAAUAAUAUAUUAAAUUUAUAAAUAUUUAGUAAUAAAUAUUUUAUAAUAUAAAACAUAAAUAUUUUAAUAAUACGAAUAUGAUCUUACUUAAAAUUUCAUUUCCCUUCCUGCUAUAGUGUUUUACUAUGCACUUUAAAGUUAUUUUUAUAUUUUUAAAUAUAUCUAUUUUUUUUUACAUAGUGCCUAGAACUACCUAUAGCCCCUUGCCCAAUCCAUAAAUAGGAGAAUAAUCCAUAAAUAGGAGAAUAAUACGCUAAGUGCACUCGAACCCACAUUCUCCUACAUUGGCAACAAUGCCUAUACCAAUUGAGCUAAGACUCAAUCGACAGUGUUUUAGUAUUUUAAAUAGUCAUGCAAGUUGUUUAGCUAAGCUACACUACAGACUUAUUUAUGAGUCGAGCUAUUCACCCAAACUCAAAGGCUUGCCCGAAAUUUAAAAGGGUUUGGCAAAUAUUAAUCCUCAAAAAUGGGUUUGGGUAAAAAAUAAGUUUGUUUAAACUAUGGUCCGGGCUUGAGCUUGAAUAUUCAAGGCUUGAGCCUGGCCCGUUUUAAAUUCAUUAUAUAAUAUAAAGCUUCAUUUAAUUCUUACAUAAACUUUUAAUAAUAUUUUUGGUUAAUUUGUGGUAUUAGUCCUUAUACAUUGCGAAUGUUGUGGAUUUAAUUUCUAUACUUUAAUUUGAUCAAUUUUAGUCCCUGUACAUUGUGAACAAUUUUUCUAUUUUUUAUAUAAAAGACAUAAAAAUUAAAAAAAACCUCAAAAUAAUAUAAUUUAUUUUAUAAAACAAUUUAGAAUUCAUUAUUAACUAAAACAUAAAAAAUAUGAACAUGAACCUUAUUAUAGUAUAUAAACAUUGUACAUGAUGUGAUUUAAUGAAAAAAAAAAUAGAACUUAAGAAACAUAUAAAGAUAAUUUAGAACUAAAAAAAGAGAAACUUUUUAACCUAUUAACAUAAAUGAUUCACUAGUGGGAUUUACCCUUUUCAAAUCAUUAAUUUCUUUUUGUGGUUAAUAUCUUAAAAAAGUCCUUAAACUAUUAUACUUUGUUUAAACAAGUCCUAAUACUAUUUUUGUAAUUAAAUAAGUCUCUAACAUAUACUUUUACUGUUAAAGUAAAAAUAUUUUCAACUGUGAAUUUGAUGAGAAUAGUUUAUUAUAUAAAAAUAAAAUAAUAUUUUUUAAAAGUAAGAUGAAAUACUAUUUUCAAAUUCUGAUUACUCUUUUAAAUCUUAUGUUGAUGUUAAAAGUGUAUAGAAUUUCUAUUGCAUCAACUAUAAGUGUCUGAAAUUUAAAAUAAUUUUACUUUAAUAUUAAAAUCAAUGACUUUUCUGAAUAAAAAUGAUAGGAUAGGAACUUAUUUAACUAAAAAUAAAGAAUAAUAAUUUAAAUAUUUUUUAACAUAUUAAAUUUUUCACAAAAUAUCUUGAAAAUUUAAUAAUAUUGAUCUAUAAUGAAACAUUCAAUUAAUGUUCAUACUUGUAAAAUUUAAACUCAUUUUGAACUAAAUGGGAUUUCGUUAUAGGUUCUGGUCAUAUCUAUUUUUUUUUACAUAAUACCUAGAACUAUCCAUAGUCUCUCCCAUCCUCAUAAAUAGGAGGAUAAUGCACUUUAGAGCAUUCGAGCCCACAUCUUCUUAUAUUGGCAACAAUGCACAUACUAACCGAACUAAAAUUUAAUCUACUAACAAAUAACUUUUUAAAACCAAAGAAACAUGAAAAGAUAAUUUAAAGCUAAAAAAAACCUUAGGUGAAAGUAAACAUUACAAAGGACUAGAAAUAAACUAGAGGAGAAGCUCCAUAUAACUGUAAUCCUUCCUUCCUAUCAAAAGCUAACUUGGUAAUCUGAUCAGCUUCUAUGUUAUUUUUUCUAGGCACAUUUCGCUUCCUUUCGUAUAAAAAAAAAACCUUUUUAACCUAUUAACAUAAAUAAUUCAUUAUUGGGAUUUAACCUUUUCAUAUCAUUAAUUUCCUUCUUUUUUUUCACAAACAAUAUAUUGGGAAGUUAAUAACCUCGAUUUAUGAAGAAUAAUUAGUAGACAUUCAAUGAAAGACAUAGUGAAGGAAUGUGCAAAGUGGGUGUGGCGUAUACGUCAGUGGGUGCAAUUAAUUUGUUUAGUGUAUUUAUAAGAGGCGUGUACGCUGGUAUGCUGGAAUUAAUAUGGGGAAUUUUUCUUUUUCGGUUAUUGAUUAUAUUUAGAGUUUGUAUUUGUUUUUCAAUAAUGUUGCUUUCAAAAUUUUAUUUUAUAAAGAAAUACUCUCAAAAUUUAAACACACAUUUUUUUUACUAAAAAUGGAAUAUACUUGAACAUGAUAGCUAUGGACCAGACUCCACUCACCUACAGACCAAGAAGGGUCAAGCUCAUAAAAAGGGUGUGAGCCAUUAAUGUACCCAACCAUUGAUUAGGGAUUGUAAAACCUAACAUUAAGUGGAUUUUGAAUCCAUCUACUUUGAAUAAAGUGAAAUUCUUUCUUUUUCUUUUUUCUAAAUGGAUAUAGGGUAAGGCAAAUAGAUUUUUUUAAGUUAUGGGUAAAGAACGAUUAUGGUAAUUGUUUAUUUUACGUUAGAGGUAAUUAUUGGUUGGUUCGAGUCGGGCUGUAAUAAAAUUUUAGUCCUAUUUGAUAGGCUCGACUUAAAAAUUAGGCUUAAAAUUUUGUCUAAGUCUGACCCAGAUAAAAAACUAAAAUCUAAGCCCGAUUUGAUCCACCCAUAUUAAAUUUUUAAUAUUAUUUUUUAUAUAAAAAUAAAAUAAAAAAAUACAAUACAUCAAAUACACUAAAAAAAUUAAAAUAAAUGUUUCCCAAAAAAUUUAAAAAAUUAAAAAAGUCUUUAUACUUAAAUAACACUAAGAUAGGUGCAACUUAACAAGUAAAUCCCUCUAAAAUAGUAGCAAAAUUAACAAUAAAAUAAGAGUUAUACAAUAUCCAAAUAAUAACAACAACAGAAUAAUAGCAAUAUAAUAGUGAAAUGGCAACAAAACAAUAGCUUUUUUUUUUGCAAAUUCGGAUUAGAUCAGACUCGGACAGAAAAAAAGCUUACUCGAGGCUCGACCUAUUUUUUGAACGGAUCUUAUUUUUUUACCCAAAAACAUUUUUAAGCCUAUAUUUUUACUCAAACCCUUUCACUUUUCGAGCGGACCUUUGUACCAAGCCCAACCCAUGAGCAGGUUUAGUUCAAGUGCGUUGAAGCACAUUAUCCUCCUAUUUAUGGGUUGGGAGGGGCUAUGGGUAGUUUUAGGCAUCAUAUCAAAAAAACAUAUAUAAUUAGAACCUAUAAUGGGAUUGUUAAAAGAAUUCUAGAAGUGAAUUUACUUGUUUGGGUAAAAAAAUUGGAGAAUUCCAAAAUUCGUUAGUAAUUUUAAGAGGGAAUUUUGGUAGCUCGAUUUCCCUUUCCAAAUUCCAUCUACAAAGGUGGUUUUUCAAAUUUUAUUAUAAUUUUAUUUCAUUUAGUACACAUGAUCUCACUAUAAGAUAAAUACCAAAACUUUCAAAAACAUUUUUUAUUCUAAUUUAUAUUUUUAAAUUUUUUAUUUUAUUAAAAAUAUUUAUAAAAUUUUACAAAUACAAUGAUACUGAAUAUUUUUAUAUUAUUUAUUUCGAAAAAAUCCAAUAACCUAUUUUUUUUAAAGAUAAUUAUUUAUUCAAACAAAAAAAAUUAUAAUUGCUAGCAUUUUGAAUUUGAUGAAAUUUAAUAUGCUAGUAUUUUAAAAAUUUUCAGAUUUUCAAAAUUUUUCAUCGAAACACACUGUUAUUGAAUUCGAUAUUACAAAUCAAUUACCAUCAAUUAAAUUAGAAAAGAGAAAAAGAAAAAAUCAUAAGAAAAAAACAUAUUAAUAAAUUUAAAUAGAUAAUUUAAUUUUCCUUGAUAGUUGAAUUAGUAUGAUUUACUGGACUAGUAAUAGGCCUUGAAAAUUCCUGAUUAUUACUUCCAUUAGAGAAGAGAUUUCAAUACAUUGAAUACACUAUUGUCAAAGACAAUGAUGGAAGUUGAAGUAGCAAUAUAUAUAUAUAUAUGGAAGUCUUAAAAGUGGAAAAUUUAGGUCAACAUAGGUUGGUGGAAUAUGGGUCCAUAAAGAAAAAAAUUAUUCAACGUUAAAGAAAAUUAAUUUAUUCUGACUUAAAUAUAUUGGUGAAUUAUAAGAGGAGAACGAGAUCUUAACAACAACAUGAUUAGAGCAAUUUAAAUUUAGGUUACACUUGAUAUGAUGAAUACUUUAACUAUCAGGUCAACACACGGGGUUCAAUUCAAAUAUAUUUCUCUAAUGGAAGUCUUAAAUAUAUGUGUGGAAAGACUUAAAAGUGAGAAAUUUUAAUUCAAUAUAUUUUGGUGGAAUAUGGGUCCAUAAAGAAAAAAAUUAUGGCAUUGAAGAAGAGAAAAAGGAAGAAAGAAAAUAAAAGUCAAUUUUAGUCUACGCGGGAAAAUAAAAUUAUUUUUUUCCGAUUUCAAUUCGAAUAAUUUUUUUGUUAUCAGUUGGUUUGUAUUUUGUAAUAUUUGAUUUUUAUUAUAAUUAUUUCGAUAUGUAUUAUUUAUAUUUUAAAAAUACUUUUUAGAAAUAAGCGAUUGAAAAAAGUGGAAGCGGAUUUCUUUUUUAUCAUUUUGAUCAAGUUCUAAUUAUAAAGAUGUCAUUAUUAGGAGAAUUUUGCCUGGAAACUUCUCUCAAACUGUAAAAUAAAUGAUGUCACAUUUGGUUAUACCCAGAGGCCUAGCCGGGGGAAGGCUUUGUCCCCUUAACCAAAUGGUUGAAUUGUAAUAUAAGGCCCUCCAAUAAGUAAAACAUUAAAAUUAAGCAUUUUAAGCUUUUAAUUAAAUGAAUUUUCUUUUUUAAUUUUGGCCCCUAUAAAAAAUAAAACGUGAAAGAAAGAAAGAAUUCAAAAGCAGCAUUAGAAGAAUAUGGUCCAGUGGAAGAAAUAAUUUGGGUCAAAAUCAGUGGAUUGUUAAUGGAAUUGGGCUUCAAAAGCUAAAAUCAUAAUAAUAAAAAUACCUAUUGGUUAUAAAUAGAUUGCAUUUUGUUCUUUUUACUUAAAAAAUAGAUAAAUUAAUCCGUAGAAAUUAAACAAAAAAGUAAUCUAGUUCUUUCUGUUAAAAAAAUUCAUUCAUUUCUAAUACUAAAAACUAACUUGACUAACAGAAUAACCAAAUAGUGACACAUUAUGUGCCAUGUGUAUCUCAUAAAAAUGUAAAGAGAUUAAUUUUUAAUGGUAAAAAUAGAUGAAAUUUUUAAUAGAAUGGCCAUUUUACUAUUCGAUCUAACAUACAAGGAUUAGUUUGCCCAUUUUUUUAGUAAAGAGAAUAAAAUGCGAUCCAACUCUUAUUACAAUGGCUUCCAUGAUACUUUUACCAAAUUUGAGCAUUUGAUGUGCUUUUAGUACCAUGAACCAAACAUUAUAAAAUUAAGGAUAAACUUAAAAAAUAAAAGCUACUUAUGUAGGUUUAAAUUACGUUUUGAUCAUUAAACUUUAAUUUGUUACAAAAUGGUCAUUAACGUUAACGAUUUGUAACAUAUUAGUCACCGAGCCGUUAAUUGUUGUUGAUGUGGCACGUUAAAUUAUCAUAUUAGACGAAAAAAUUAGGUCAAAUUGCACAACUAAUCCCUAUAUAUUCUUUUACUACGUUACCUAAAAAUUUUAAAAUAAAAAUGUUAUAAAAUUUUAAAAGAUAAUUAAAAUAUAUAAUAUAUAAAUAAAAAAUCUUAGAAAAAAAUUCUAUUAUCAAAUCCAAUCAUUUGCUUGAUUUAACAACCAAAAAAAAAACUUCUUAGAAAUCCCUAAAAUCUAAACCGAAGUUUGGCUUUCCACCUCCUAAAAUGUUUUUUUUUUGUCUUCUGUUUUCUUCUCAAUUUCUUCUCUCUUUUUUUUUUUUUCUUUUGUUUAUUUUUAUGCUAAUGAUGAAUCUUUUGUGCAAAUUUCUUCCUUUCGAAAUGACAUUUUUUUAUGAAAGCACGAAAUGACCAUUGAAUAGUGGUAAGGGGGAGUCGGAAGUUGAUGAUUUAAGGGUCCUUUGGAUGGAAGUUUAUUUCCAGUACGGUGUGUUUAGUUUUUUUUUGUCUCACGCUACAGUAUUGUUAUAGUAUCUAAUCUCACCAUCACCACUAUUUUUACAUUAACCACAGAUAAACGCACCGCCCAUUUAAAAAGAUUCUUAAUUUGAUUCGACAGCUAGGAGAUUGAAGAGGGUUAACUAAUAACAACGUUUACUAAGGUGGGAAGGCUUAAAACAUAUUCCUAAAAUUAAUGAAGCCUUUCUAAUUUGCAGCAAACCCACAAAUCAGCUUACCGUUAUUAAAAUGUGCAAUUUGAUCUAAAAUUUUUGUUUUAAGUUAGUUUACCGUUACACCAUUAACGAGAGUUAACGGUUUAAUGACCCAAAUGUUAUAAAUUAAUAACGUUAGUGACCAUUUCGUAACAAAUUAAAAUUUAAUGACCAAAAUAUAAUUUAAACCAUACGUAAGUGACUAUUUUUGUAAUCUACUCUAAAAUUAAAUAGAAUUUGUGAGGAGGGAUCAAAGCAAAUCUCUUAUACAAUUUCUAUUACUUUAGAUUAUGUAUAAUGUUGACUUCAUCACAUUCCCGAAUCAAUAAGAUCUGAGUUGAGCUUGAAACGGGGGCAACUCGUUAAUAAAAUUUUAGGUUCCAUGUGCUCCUUUAUAUAUUUUUUCUAUGUAAGAUUUAAACCUAUUCUUUUAAUUCAUUAAUUAAUUAUUAUUAUGUGUUUUUUUAUAUAUAGAUUUGGAUUAAUAUGUCACUUGAUACUUAAGUUUGAUAUUUUUUCUUUUGGUAUUUGUGUUUUUUUUUCUAUAUAUUAAUAUGGUACAUAUAUUUGAUAAAAAAGUUAUGUAUUUUUGUAUCGAAAGGUGACAAUGUUAACUUUUGAAUGUUUAAUUCGAAUUUUAGGGUUGAAUUGAUGAAAAUUCAUGUUUAAUUCUGUUGGAGAUCGACCCGAAUAAACAACGAGAUAGUAAAAGUCGAGAAGAACAAAACACAAAUAUUUUAUGUGGAAAACCCUCAAAGAGGAAAAAAUUACGGGCAAAGGAGGUAUCGACUUUUCAGUAAAUGAGUAAACAAACGAUAGUACAAUAUAGAGAAAAUAAACCUAAAUGUACUAAGUGUACAAACCCAAACCCCAAAAACAUAAUCUUAACUUGAGAACAAAAUAUUAUCCAUAGUUACCACGAAAUUCUUACCAAAACUCAUAUGCGACUACACCUUGUCGCCCUAAAAAAACCCCAUGUUGAUUGGUAUAUCAAAAUAAUGAUACAAUGACCCCUUUAAAUAGACUUAGAUUAAAGUUCUAAUCAUACUAAAAUAUCCCUAGAAUAAUUAGGGUCCAACUGAGAGAAGCAGUUCUGCUUGAAGUAAAAAACGUGACUGCCAUAUGCCACGUCACGACGUCGUCUCUACUUUUCCAUUUCAAUGUUGUCACGUUGUCUCGACGUCCCGAUGCUCCUCAUCAUGACGUCGGACCUAUUUUGGGUCUUCUUUGAUUGUUCGUCAAAAUGCCUUUCUAAGUGUCUGCAAAACGUCUAAUAAAUGCGAGGUACACACCACAAAUUAAAAAAUAAUCACAAUCAUCAUAUUGUAUUUAACAAAUUACAAAACAAAAUUAAACAAAUUCAAUUAACACUAAAAUUAAUCUAUUAGCAAAAUCAUGAAAAUUUAUUUCAACAAAAUAAAUCAUGAAAAUUCACACAGACACUAAUAUUUGUCGAAACCAUUUAUUGAACAAAAUUGGCUUCAUGAUUUUUUAUAAAAAUGAAAACUUUAGUUUUUUAAAGCACUGAGUUUUAAUUAAGAACAUAUGAGUCGCCACUAAUCUUUUUAACUACAUGUGAUCGUUCACCUAUAAUUUACUUUUUUUUUUAAAAAAAAAAAAUUUGUCUACAUUGAAAUCUAGAGAAAAUUUGAGCUUGGGAGUCGGUUAUGCACAAAAAAAUUUUAACACCCUCACGACAUCCAAAAAUUGACACCUUUAUUAAUUACAUGCUAUUAUUACUAUAUUUCUGAUUUCGCCCUUGAAAUAAAGGUAUGCAUUAAUAAAGGUCACUUUUAGAUUUAUUUCGAUUUAUAUUCGAAUAUAUUUCGGUUAUUAUUUUAAUUAUGUUUUUGUAAUAGUUGGUUUUCAUUAGAUAGUUGUUGUUUUUUAGGUUAUUUUAAUUAAAUAAUCUACAUGAUGUAUUAAUGCGAAAUGAAUUUUGAUUUAUUGAUAAAAUAUAAAAUAAUGUAAUUAGAAUUUAUCAAUUUAUAUUAGAAUCAGGAACGAAACCAGAAAAUUUAUUCGGGAGGUUAGAAUUAAAUUGUAUAUUUUUACAAUAGUAAACAUAUAAUUUCACCAUUUUAAUAGCCUAUAUUUUUAUAAUUUUAAAGAAUUAAAUGAAAUUUUUAUUAUUUUUAAAAUUAAAAUUGUCGAAACCGUUUUUUGAAAACAAAAAUUUAGUUGCCGACUUUAAAAAUAAAACAGGAGUCGCCACCGAUCCUUUAUUAGGGUGUGAUCGGCUCACCUUAAAAAUUAUUUUAGCCUACGAAUUUUGAGAAAACGAGUUUGGGAGUCAGUUACGCACGAGGAAGGGUUAGCACCCUCGUAACGCCCAAAAUCGGUACCAAAUUGAUUAUUUGAUGUCUUAGUGUCGAAGGUUUUAAAAAGAUUUUAAAAUCAACUCAAACGAUGGAAUUUGAAAAUGGAUAAUCAAUUGCUCAAGUCAUGUAAAAAAAUCGAGUCCCAAUACGUUAGGGUACAAUUCCUCAUAAUCCUCGAACUUUGAAUAUCACUUUUAUUUUAUGCGAAAAUCUUCAUUUCGAAAAAGUAACAGGCCACAUCCAAUACGUUAGGGCACGACAAGUUAAGUUCCCAAAAAUGAUUUUUAUGCUCAUGCAUUUUGAAUAAAGAAUAUUCUCGAUCAUUUAAGAUUGACAAAGAAAAUCAGAACCCAAUACGUUAGGGCUCAAUUUCCCUCGAAAAUCCCAAACUUCAAAUAAUGCUUUUAUUCAAAAAAAACCUUUAAAUCAAGAAAAUAACUUUGACGUACGGUUAAAAUCAAAAUAUAUUUUCAAAAAGGGUAUAUCAAAAAGUGGAUGUAUAAUAUCAAAACAAAUACUUCAAUGAUGAAUUACAUAUGAAUAUGUAUUUACAAAAUAUAUAUGUACAAGUAUAAUAUACAAGUAAAUUGGAAAAUAUGUGUAUGCGUAUAGUUAACACACAUUUACAAGCAUACAUAUGUAAAAAACACGUGUAGCAAAAAAACUUAUAAUAAUCUCCAAAAUAUGUAUGUAUAUAUAUGUAUGCGAAAUUUAAGAAAAUAAGAUAAAAAUAUAAAAAUAUGUACAUAUGUAUAUAUUUACAAAAAAAGUAUAUAUAUAAAAUAUAAAGUAUAUAUAAAAAAGUAAAAAAAAAAACAAAAAACAAAACAUAUGUAUAAAAUAUAUGCAUGUAUUUAUAAAAGCUUAAAAAUAUAUAUAUACCUAUAUAUAACAAAAUGCCCAUAUGUAUAUUAUAUAAAAAAAACUAUGCGUAUAUAUAUAUAUGUAUAGAAAAUAUGAUAAUAAUCAAUAAUAAUAAAUAAUAUAAUAAAAAUAAUUAAUAACAAGGGACCCGAAUUGAAACUACAGGAAACUUUCAGGUAAACAUUUAAAAUAAUAAAAGCUGAAGACUAAUUUGUAGUGCGCUGGAAACAUCAGGGAGCAAACAAGCAAAUGUACCAGCCCCUUAUACGCAGCGCUUUCAUGUAGGACCAAAUUGAGACAAGAAACAAACGUGCGGUCAAAAUUGAAAAUAAAAAAAUUGCAUUGAAGGUGACUCAAAAACAGAGGGAUCAGUUUCGCAAAUUACCCAUUCAGGGCCAGAACGCGCGGACCCUGCUUGCGGGUCGAGUCGACGCGCGGAUCUGGCCCCUUGCAAAACGGUGCUGUUUCACUUUUGUUAUUUAAAACAAAUUUUUUUGUUAAAAACUUAUUUACAGCAAAAAAGGAAAAAAGAAAAUAAAAAAAUAUUAAGAAUCCUCUGCUAGGGUUUCUUCAUCCCCAACCCUUUGCGCCGCCGAUCACCUGGGCCAGUGCUCCGAUGGCGACGGAGACGCCCAACCCGGCGGAAAAGGUAAGUUUCUUUUCCCCCUCUCCCUUUUAUAAAUUAAUAUAAACAAAAAAAAUACUGAAAAGAGGAUAAAAUCGAAAAAACACCUUUAUAUUCGAAGAAAAAAAUCUAUUUCUCUUUUUUUCUGUAUUUCGUAUUUGUGUUUGUAUUCCUUUUCCCUGAAGAAACCCCCCUUUUACAGAUUAAAAUCGGGCUUUUAUAGCCGAAAUAGAAAAGAAGAAAAUCUAAACAAAUCUAUUCUGUUAUUUUCUAGCAUAUUUUGCUAUUCUGUUUGUUUUGUUGUUGUAGGUAUGUGUGUGCGUGGGGAGCAGCAAAGUGGGAAGUGACGUGCUGCGAUGGAGGCGUGCGAGCAGCGUGAUCUGCGGAGCGCAAGGAGAACUGCUGGGUGUGGGAGCGGCGCGCGUGUAGAGGAAGCUGGUUUAGGGUUUCAGCAGAUUAAUUUUGCUAAGCUUGGGUUUGAAAAUUGGCUGUUGGGCCUGCUAGCGCUGGACUGUUUAUUUUUUGCUGUUUUGGUUUCCUAUGCGGGCCCGGGUAAUUGGGCUUAUUACAAAAAUAUAUUUUUAUUAUUACUAAUUUAAAAUUUUAUAAAUUAAAAAAAUUUAAAUAAAAAAUUUUUCAUUUUAAAGGAACCACCUAGCUCCGCUGCUGAUUAAAGUAAGUGUAUCUCAUCUCGAUAUAUAUAAUGUGAAAUCAAAACGUGAAAGGGAGAUCAUUUAAAAGCAGCAUUUGAAGAAUAUGGGCUUUAUUUGUUUAUAUUUUAUUUUGGAUCUAAAGCUAGUGAAAGAAAUAGUUUGGGUCAAAAUCAGUGGAUUCUUAAAUGGAAUUGGGCUUCAAAAAGCUAAAAUCAUAUGGCAAAAAAAAAAAAAAAAUACAACUCCAAUUUUAUCGAAUUUCUUUUAUUUAUUCAUGAAGUUUGGUUUGAUAUGCAAUUUGAUAUAUGAAUUUUGAUUUGGUAUACUUAACACACACAAAAACACUUAAAUUAUGAUUUAUAUGUAUACAUGAAACUUUGAUCUGGAUUCAAUCAUCCGCAUUUAAAGAAUUAAGUACAUACAUUUAUUUUCAUACUAGAUUAAUAUAAGUAUUUGUGUAUACAAUAUAUCAACGUAAAACAAUGUUAAUUCAAUAAUCUAAUUAGCGACAUGUGAAAAAUUAAAUCAAAUUAAAAUUGCACGUAUAAAAUUACAUAAAAUCAAAGUUU